AUCGCUUCUCGGCCUUUUGGCUAAGAUCAAGUGAAGAGUGCACAGAUGUUCUCUGAACAUAAGACAAAUAUUUUAAAAAUUCAGUAACAUCCU
rnacentral:sRNA from 1 species